rnacentral:rRNA from 1 species
UACGAAGGGUGCAAACGUUAUUCGGAAUCACUGGGCGUAAAGGGCGCGUAGGCGGCUCAUGAAGGCUGUGGUGAAAGUCCGGGGCUCAACCUCGGAUCGGCCGUGGCGACUCGUGGGCUGGAGCACUGUAGAGGCGGGUGGAAUUCCGGGUGUAGCGGUGGAAUGCGUAGAGAUCCGGAAGAACACCAGUGGCGAAGGCGGCCCGCUGGGCAGUGGCUGACGCUGAGGCGCGACAGCGUGGGGAGCAAACAGG